NAGGACAUCAUCAUCAUACACAAGGUCUUCCCAGGCAUCCAUCUUAGUCGUUGCUUAAUCUGCAAGAAAAGUGAAANCACACAAGUAUGAGAAGACAUGCAGGGAGAAAACAUAAAUAAUUGUUAUAGUAAAUGACCUUACAAAUAUGCUGAAUUUAUUUCAAUGAUCAUCGUAUUGAGGAUUUAUAUAUAGAAAUUUUUUCAUAUAUUUUUGAUUAAAAUUAAU
rnacentral:lncRNA from 1 species